rnacentral:rRNA from 2 species
CAUUGAGCACGUAUGGGUUUCAAGGCGUCCCCGGGACCCGGUCUCCUCCCUCCCGUCCGCGGAAGGGAGACCCCCCCUUUUUUCUAAGGUUGACCUCGGAUCAGGUAGGAAUACCCGCUGAACUUAAGCAUAUCAUUWASCUKAGGAAAAGAAACCAACAGRGAUUGCCUCAGUAACGGCGAGUGAAGCGGCAACAGCUCAAAUUUGAAAUCUGGCCUCUUUGGGGUCCGAGUUGUAAUUUGUAGAGGAUGUUUCGGGCACCGCUCCGGUUUAAAUUUCUUGGAACAGAAUGUCAAAGAGGGUGAGAACCCCGUCUUGGACCGGCAGUAGGGCCCAUGUGAAACUCGUUAGACGAGUCGAGUCAUUUGGGAAUGCAGCUCAAAAUGAGUGGUAAAUUUCAUCUAAAGCUCAAUAUUGGCCAGAGACCGAUAGCGCACAAGUAGAGUGAUGGAACGAUGAAAAGCACUUUGAAAAGAGAGUUAAACAGUACGUGAAAUUGUUGAAAGGGAAGCGCUUGCAACCAGACUUGCGCGCGGCGGUUCCCCCUUCUCUUUUGGUUGGGUUAUUCCGCAGUGUCCAGGCCAACUUCGGUUGCGGGGGUCGGUUAAAGGCCCA